rnacentral:rRNA from 1 species
GCCGGGGGGGGCCCUAAUACAUGCAGUCGAGCGAUGGAUUAAGAGCUUGCUCUUAUGAAGUUAGCGGCGGACGGGUGAGUAACACGUGGGUAACCUGCCCAUAAGACUGGGAUAACUCCGGGAAACCGGGGCUAAUACCGGAUAACAUUUUGAACCGCAUGGUUCGAAAUUGAAAGGCGGCUUCGGCUGUCACUUAUGGAUGGACCCGCGUCGCAUUAGCUAGUUGGUGAGGUAACGGCUCACCAAGGCAACGAUGCGUAGCCGACCUGAGAGGGUGAUCGGCCACACUGGGACUGAGACACGGCCCAGACUCCUACGGGAGGCAGCAGUAGGGAAUCUUCCGCAAUGGACGAAAGUCUGACGGAGCAACGCCGCGUGAGUGAUGAAGGCUUUCGGGUCGUAAAACUCUGUUGUUAGGGAAGAACAAGUGCUAGUUGAAUAAGCUGGCACCUUGACGGUACCUAACCAGAAAGCCACGGCUAACUACGUGCCAGCAGCCGCGGUAAUACGUAGGUGGCAAGCGUUAUCCGGAAUUAUUGGGCGUAAAGCGCGCGCAGGUGGUUUCUUAAGUCUGAUGUGAAAGCCCACGGCUCAACCGUGGAGGGUCAUUGGAAACUGGGAGACUUGAGUGCAGAAGAGGAAAGUGGAAUUCCAUGUGUAGCGGUGAAAUGCGUAGAGAUAUGGAGGAACACCAGUGGCGAAGGCGACUUUCUGGUCUGUAACUGACACUGAGGCGCGAAGCGUGGGGAGCAAACAGGAUUAGAUACUCGUGGUUAGUUCCCAA